CAGCAGCCGCGGUAAUACGUAGGGGGCGAGCGUUUUCCGGAAUUAUUGGGCGUAAAGCGCGCGCAGGGCGUCCCUUAAGUCUGAUGUGAAAGCCCACGGCUUAACCCUGGGAGGUCAUUUGGAACUGGGGGACUUGAGUGCAGAANAGGAGAGCUGANNUNCACGUGUAGNGCUGAAAUGCGUAGAGAUGUGGAGGAACACCAGUGNCGAAGGCGGCUCUCUGGUCUGUAACUGACGCUGAGGCGCNAAAGCGUGGGGAGCAAACAGGAUUAGAUACCCUGGUAGUCCACGCCGUAAACGAUGAGUNCUCAAURUUAKAGGGGUUACUCCCUUUAGUYCUUAAUCUAACGCGUUAAGCACUUCGCCUGGGGAGUACGGCCGCAAGGCUGAAACUCAAAGGAAUUGACG
rnacentral:rRNA from 1 species